CUAUACACUGUUGGAAGAAGAUGAAAAGGAAUAUUAUUUUUUUUUGGCAUAUUGAGAAAGGGUUUGAAAAUCUGAGAAGGUGUUUGUGUCCCCAAACUGUGGUAAAAAUAGGUGCAUGCCUAUCAGUUAUGCUUUUCAAAUUUUCCUGCAUGUACUUCGUUGCACUUUUAGGCUUCCUAAAUAUUUUCCUGCAAGUCACAAAGAUGAGAAGGUAUGAAAUACAACCAUGUUCCUGUGAUGUACCAUUUGGGAAUGGUCACUGCCAUCACAAUUCUUUCAUCUGUUGCAGAAUGGCUAUCUUCUUAACUAAAAGCUCUAGCAGCACAUAAACCAAAACAUCCCAGGCACUCAGAGAUGCUUUUCACUAAAUUGCAAAUAGUUUCACUCUUGUUCUUAUUAAGUUACCCUGCAGCACAGAUCCUUCCCUGUCUGCUGUCUUCUCCUUGAAGAGUUGCUGCCACACCUUGCCUGCCACAUGCGAGGCUUUCAUGUGCUGACGUCCUACUGUGCAGAUUUGUGUUCUGUUCUAAGAUGUUCACUGCCAGUACAAAGACAUCAUACUAUUUAGGCUUGGGAGUCUCAGUUCCUAAUAAUUGCUGUAGCUGAUUAAGGACAGUUGCGGGGGAAGCAACAGCACCUUGUGUGCUGGGCUGCCCACCUCCAGGCUCGAGCAACUGCCUCUGGCAGCAGGUCCUCUGCUUUUGUACCCAAACACGCGUGAAGCCCAGGGCAAAAGUGACCGGGUGGUCUGGAGUUCACCACAUAAACAGAUUCUGCUGAAACACUCAAAAUCAGGCAAGAGGCAUGCAUGGGGAUUGCUCUCGAGGAGGCAAUCACAGAAAUGCUGAGUGUCUGACAACUGCUCCUGUGAACACCAUGCACUGCUGAGAGAUGGGUUCUGGAUGCUCAGCCCAAGUGCACUGUUGGAAAGGAGGACCCAGCAGUAACAUUUUUACUGACUCCAAGAGCUCGGUGGCCUGCAAUAUCUCCCAAAUCUCCUGCGAGCCACCAAGCUCUCCCUGCCUGUGCGGGAAGGUCGGGUGCAAGCGGUGGUGCGCGAUUGCAUUGCUGCUGCCCUGCGUUCCAGAGAGAUUUCGCACCUCACUGGCUCCUGCUGCAGUCUGCCCUGCUGAGGUAAAUGUGAACUGACACAGCAGAGGUCUAAAUCAACAUCCUCCUCAUUAAACAAAAUACAGCCUAAUCCUACUUUUGUUCUUGAUAGCAGGAAAAAUAGAAGAAAGUAUCUAUGUUAAUAUUCAUGACCAGGCUGCAGUUUUCCCUGCUGCUAAUACACAGUGUCAGAUCCACACACUGGGGAAUCCAGGGAUCAGUUCCUUUGGCAUCCAUCUAGCUUCUGUUCUGUUCUUACCCACGUUUAUUAGCAGCGCAUCGUUAGAACUCAGCAGCAAUUAACCCUCUUGGUAAAACAAGCUAGCCUGAGUACCAGGAGUUGUCUGGGUAAUUAGUCUUGGCCGUCAUUUCCAGCUUGUUUGGGUGCAAAGUGCAUCAGACCACAGCCGUACAGGAUAAGCCAUGGAGAUCCUGCUGAGAUAUCACCUGCUUGAACCUGUUCUCCUCUGGCUGGACACCCUGUGCUCUAAACUUUAUGCCAAAUGAAGGAGGUGAAGGCAGUAUUCAUCACAGUCCAAAGAAGGUCCUAGAAGCACUGGGCACCAACGCACAAGGGCAGAAUGAGAGAAAACUCAUUCCUGGUGGUCGUUAAACCAGAGAGCUUGUGAUCUGUGCAAUGAAGUGAAGUAACUGCCUGUGGCAGCCGCUGGACAGAGCAGGGAAAGAGCAGGUGAGCUCAUGGCAGCCCCAGGAGGUGGGCAGUGAAACGCCGUGGACCGUGGCAUGGGCUGUGCACAAGCCUCUCUGUCCCAGAAGGGACAUAAAUCGGCUGUUGCUGUGAGCAGACCUGUGUGUGCAGCUGGCCAGUGGCAGUUCCUCUGUCUUUUCUACUAACAGCCACCUUGUUGAGUGGAUGGAUGGAUUUUUUUGUCCUGUGUAGCAUCUAUAUGACUUGUGCUUCGGUGCUGACAGGUGUUCACAUUGGGUGUUUCUGACUGGCUUCCUGCCAACUUAAAAAACCCAGCAUUCCCAGUGUUCAGUGCUUAGGAUAAGUACUCUCAAUUUCAGAGUCACAGUUGGUUUAGACAAGAUAUGUCCAGUCUUGGGGUCUGUCACCAGGGUAUAAACACCACAUUGCAGCUAUUCAGACUCCUGGCUUUGGGAGCCUGCACAUAAACCCAGCAGGUUUCCAGCACCACCGUGGGGAUCAACCACCCUCUUUCCUCAAAUACCUUUUCACUGAACUCAGAUCUGCUGUAACUGAGGUGAAAUAUGAUGCCAUGAACAUGGGAGACUAGUUAUUUGGAGAAUGUGAUGGCAGUCUCUGCCUGUGAUUAUUUGACUGCAGGAAUAAGUAGGAAUCCUACCAUUAGGAAACAUCAUCAACAUGUGCUCUUUGAUCUACCAUGCACUGAGAGGUUCCUGAGCAUUUUCACCCCAAGAUUCUCUAGACCAGCUGCAAUUACACUGCAAGAGGAGACAAGGGGCCCCACUUCCAUCUGUGAGGUUUGGAUCUACAGGAUGAAUUCUGCCUACAAACUCUACACUGUAAAUUGCAGGAGAGAUUUGGAGUGGAUCUCUGGCUGGUUGUUGGCUCCCUCCCAAGCUCUAGCCCGGCUAUUUCUGUAAACCCGUCUCUCUUUCCUGUCAGGACCAUCACAGUGAAAUAGGAAAUAAAUCUGUCUGCUUGUCCUGACUCUCGCAGGACUCGCUCAGAGUACGGAAGACAAAUAACAUCAUCUACAAACAAGCAGCUUUCUCAAGAAACAGUCUGCUGGUUUUAUGGUGAAAGCAGUGUUUAUGGAACUUAGCUGUUAAAAUGGAUUUUCUUUAUACUAAAUGAGUGCCCUGCUGUGACACCAUUAUUCUGUUCACUAAUGUUCCUUAGAAAAAGCCCACAAUUUAUGUGAGUUCAAGACACUGUAUAAGAUCUUCAGGAAAUGAGCUUCAUUGCCAAAGUUUCUCAGGGCAGAGACCCAGUGUUGACAGAGCUUCUGCCACCACAGAGUCACUGGGACGCUUUCCAGACCAGCGGAGAUACAUGGAGCUGAGUCCUCUGAGGACACGAGGGCUGACACAGCCAAGGGAUCUAGCUGCUUUUCCUUGCCAGCUGCGAUUUUUGGAUGUCAGGAGAAUGGCUCUAUGUUCUGUGCACUGGAUCAGCAGCCUGCAUUUUCAUCCUCCUGAUAAGCAACAGAGCUUCUCUGGGAAAACUGAGAAAGCCCAAAAUACUAAAAAUAGUUGAAAUACCCUUCUCUUAGCCCAUUGUGAGCUGUAGGUCAUGCUGUGGCUGAACUAUUCCCUUUCCUUCCUUCUUUGUGCCAGACACUGAUGCAGGCAGUUAGCUGAGAGUGACCUGAAGGCCAGAGAGAACAAACUGUUUGGCUGAACAAAAUCUCUGUUCCUGUGUGCGAGAGAAGAGCAUUUAGACUCUGCCAAAUGGCAGCAAAUGUCACUGCAUGUUCCUGUCGAAGGAGAGGAAGGUAUGUGCAGCAGUGUCAGAGCACCAGACUCAUCCUGAUGUCUUAUUUAACACUCACUUCAGAUAGAGCUUUUUAUUAGAACUGUCCCCUGGCUUAUUGAGAGGCACCUGGACUGCGACACAUAGUCCUGCCUCUGGUGAAAACCAAAGUACAAAUACCACUUCUGACUCCUUGUAUGGGUCUUCAACAGCUGACAGCACGCUAAGCUGUAUGUGCAGCUGAACAUAGACGUCUUUUUAUAAGAAACAAGCAUUGUUUUUCAGUUCUCUUGUUGAUUUGGCCACAGUGCUUAUGAAAUGGAAGUUACAAAAUAAAGGUCCUUGAAGGAUAUUCCCCACUGACAGCUGCGGGAGGUGACCUAUGAUGCAGAGGACAGAUCACAAGGCAGAAGAAUUUAACAAGAAUGAUUAAGCACUGGAAAAAAUAACUGUGCAAAGAGACAGAUGUUUCUUGCUUGAUGUCUUCAACUCAUGAUCAGAAGCUGUUUUGGAAGAGAUGCUGUAUUUGGAUAUGUGAUCAGACUCUGAUCAAGGAGAUUUAGGUGAGAUCUUUCUCAUGAUAUGCCUCAUGCUAAGCUAUGUAUUUUGAAUUAAAGCCCAUAAGAAGUAAAAA